ensembl:lncRNA
AAAAGAUAUCUUAGUAAGGAAUUGGAAUUCAGCCUGGAGUAAGAUUUUUUGGGGGAAGAUCUCUCUGUAUUUGCAGGCCUGGUGCAUAUUGAUUGUGUGCAGCUGUGGACAGCAGCUGAAGCAUAUAUCUACCUCCUGCCUGAACAAAAGUCAUGGUUUUGCACAGCUCUUUUUCUGGCAAGUGAAUAUAGAAAGCUGACAUGACUGUAGCUGGGUGGCAUAGACACAAAAAAAGAAUUCAUAGCUAAUUGCUAGUGUAGAUUUACCCUUUGUCCUUAUUACUUUGCUUUUAAACAGACAUAAUAAAUGCUGUCCAUUACUUAGAUUUAUUCCGAAGGAGUCUAAACUUCCCCAGUUCACUCUUUAAUCAUUUUCUGGCAUAUGCUUUUGUCCUUCCUUCCAAAGUGCUUGUAAUAAAUAAAGCUCUUGAAACAGUUGCAGCAAUGUGUUGAGUUUGUUAGCCUAUACAUCUUUCUGUCUCUGUUGUUUGUUUGCUUUUCAAACACACAUACAGCCUUUGUACCUCAGUUUCAGAGACCUGAGAACAUCAGUGUUUAGCAGCUUGCAUUCUGCAUCAGAUGUCUUAUGAAAUGUCUGCUAUGAACUCAUCUCUGAUGUUAGUAGCGGUGACAGUGGUGCUUGUGCCAUAGGGCGAGGAGUCAGGGCAAUGUGCUGCUAUUUGUUGUCAUCUUGUCUUCAAUAACUGAACAUGAAUAGAAGACACGUGCUUAAAUCUAAUGUAGUUUUGGGUCACAAACCAAAAUACAGGAUAUACCAUUUAGGCCUAAGUUAUUUUUUUUUCCUCAUAGGUACAGUCAAGUGCUGUGACAGAUUCCUUAGAGGCUGUGGAGUCUUCAUCCUUGGACACAGCCAGCAGUCACCCAGGCACAGCUGGACAGCCUGCUGUAGCUGCUCCUGCCUUCAUGCAGGGGCAUACUGUGGUUUUUGGAUGGAAAACAGCAGAAAAGUUCAAAUUUGGCUUCCAGCUGCCUGAAUCACUAAUGGAUCCAUCCACCAGAUGAUGUCACCUGCUUGUACACAGGCAGAUGUAAAAGAAAUUCAAGACUUUGGAAGAAAUUCUUCACCUUGAGAACAAUGAGACACUGG